rnacentral:rRNA from 1 species
GACGAACGCUGGCGGCGUGCCUAAUACAUGCAAGUCGAACGCAGUGGGGACGGGGGAGUAACACGUGGGUAACCUCCCAUCAGAGGGGAUAACACUUGGAAACAGGUGCUAAACCGAUACUGAUGGAUGGACCCGCGGUGCAUUAGCUAGUUGGUGAGGUAACGGCUCACCAAGGCCACGAUGCCUAGCCGACCGGAGAGGGUGAUCGGCAAAACUGGGACGGAGACACGGCCCAGAACCCUACGGGAGGCAGCAGUGGGGAAUGUUCGGCAAUGGACGAAAGUCGGACCGAGCAACGCCGCGUGAGUGAUGAAGGGUUUCGGAUGGUAAAGCUCUGUUGGUAGAGAAGCGGUAUCUAACCAGAAAGCCACGGCUAACUACGUGCCAGCAGCCGCGGUAAUAC